GCAUUGGUGGUUCAGUGGUAGAAUUCUCGCCUGCCACGCUGGAGGCCCGGUUUCGAUUCCCGGCCAAUGCA